GUUCCGCUACGCGCACGAGCGAGCGAGCGAGCGAGCAGCGAGGCGCCCAGAGAGCCCUCGAGUGAGAACCCCGCUGUCGUCUCCCUCAGAAGCAGCCGCCCGCCGAAUCAAAUCGCGCUGCCAGCCUCGUCCGCCUCGCCGUGCCUGCGUCCCUCCCCGGACGGCGGCGACGAUGGAGGGAUCCACUGGCGCUGGCCAGCCCCCCGGCCGAUGGACGCGCCGGAUCGUCGCUCCUCUGGGCCAGCCCCUCCCGCCGCGCUGGAUCACGUGGCAGCCUAGCUUGUCAGAGAUGGCAAAGCUGUUAUAUACAGGGUACGGCUCCGAGCUAGCCGAUGCCUACUGUAUCCAGUGUUCUGUUGCAUCCGGUGCGACCUCAAAGAAUACCUUCUUCUAGCUGGGCGUUGAGCGCCUCAGGGACGACGAGGUGCAGCGCCUGGGGUGGAAGCAGUUCAACUACAUGAUGAAGAAGUGAGUGAAGGGGUUAAGACGGUUGCGUUGUGCGUGCGCUGCUUGCUUGCUGCUGUUGCAUAUAGCUUGUGGCUGUGGUUGUCCAGCCGGGUUAUCUCUGGCUGCAGAAUCAUCAAAGAAAGGAUCCACUGCUGGUCUCAUUGGCCUUGAUCUUCCAUUCACAAGCAAUUAAUGUUUAUGGGAGCACGAAUUCAAAGUAGCACAUUUUCGCGGCUGUGAAAUGCAGCAACAUGUUUGGAUAGCUGACCAAAAAGGAUCUCACUGAAAAACUGAAAUAUUUAAGUAACACGUCAACGACGGCUGCGUCCUGCGUGUUGGCAAGGCGGCGGCGACGGAUGGUGUGCAGGAUGCGGCCUUUUUUGUGUAUAGCUCUCUAAACUUGACAGUUGAGUUUCUUUUUGGUCAUGUUAAAACUGAGUUUCUGUUAGUUCAGUUUGCACAAGCGGCCAUAGUGCGGACCAUCAGGAGACAGGGGCACACAAGCACCAGCACGGCAGCACCACCAUCAGAACACACCAGACGGCUCGCAUAGGGAAUACUUCAAGAUGGACACUGGUGGUACAACAUGGCUUACUAUCAUCUGUUUACACAUGGCUAAUUUGACGGAAUAGCUUUGGCCAUCUUUGAUAUAUGUUACUCCUACUACAGAUUUCGCUCCCUCGUCUCCAAGAAAUUCCCUACUAGCUACACUUGACAUGAGAGUCCAAUUUGAAUUCCCAUAAAUGAGAGGAAAGCUAUGAUUCGUUUGCUCCACUUUUAGCUUUGUAUCUCCUCCUGAAGACAUCCUCCCUGAACUACUUGAUUUCAGCCAUCAGGUCCAGGCUUCUACUGAAUGGUGUCCUCUGUCUCCAGCGCCCAUUUCCGCUUAGCGAGUUGUUGGAUUGCAUCCUACUUCUUAUUUUCCUCCUGCACACCGUCUCCCUUUGUGUCGUCAAUCACGUACUAUAACAUUUGACAAAUAGUAUGUGUUGUGUUGGUGUCAGCAUGCCAGCACUACAUGAAUGAUCCCACUGCUGCAGACUUCAGCCAAUACUGGCCGGCUAUGUUUACAAACAGAAAUGAAUUAUUCAGAGAAGAGGAGCAGACGUGGUGCAAAAUUUACCUCAAGGUGGUGAAUCAGCAAAUCGAGGGACUUAUUUUUUGGUGGGGCCAGCAGGGUAUCCCAUUACCUUAAUUUCCUCUCCAGUGUGCUGACUCCGAUCUCCAGAGUCAUGGUUGCUUCUUUCUUAGUCUGUUUAAUCGGUUAUUUCUUUCAAUAUGCACUCUCACAAUCAUAUACUUUUUCUGUUCUUGAUGGUGAUUUUUUGAUGGUACAAGGAAUGAAUGAAACAAUGUCUUCUCAUCAAGGAAAAGACUUGUGUUCUCCUUAUAGAACAUAAUUUAUUAUGUGAGGCAUUUGCCAUUACAACAUCUUGUCCAGGGCCAUGCUUGGCAUCGCCUCAUCCUGGUCUUCGGCGCUCCUACAGGAACUGAGCGCCAGUGUGGUCGAGCCAAGUACAACACCAACAAGCGACAACAGCGCACCACUCUAUCUAGGUUUUUACACAUCGCUGGUACUUGUUAUAUUGUUUGGAUCUGACUGUUCUGCGUAAUCACCAAAAUUAACUGUGACCAGGAUCCAUGCGGGAAACAUGCAGUGUACAGAGAAAUCAGCGCUUUCACAGGCUGAUAGGAGAAAUUUUUGGGUGGGGCCUGCAUGUUUCUAGAGAAUUGUCGUGUCAUAGUGCUAACUAGGAAAAUGUUGAGGAGGUCCUGUUGCGUCCCAUGUUCAAUAUAAGGGGGUGUUAAAAGGGACUCGAAGCAUUUUCAUGUGUCGAUGGCACGAGAGAUCCUCCCGAUACUCUCCUCAAGGUUGACCCAACUAGAUCCUGAUGCGCCAGCGGCACGGGUGGUCAGGCCUGAGCAGCGAGCUCUUCUGCCCCCUCCUCAUUGGAUCGGCGGCCAGGGAGGCCAGAUCGUGUGGCACGAGAGAAGGCUCAUGUGUGAGGAAGGGGAGCAGCAACAUGCGUCGAUUGGGGAAGGGAGGAGCAACGGGUGCCACUGAAGGGAGGGGAGCAGCGGCAAGCGCGGAGGGAGGGGAGCACGGGAGCCCCAAGGGAGGCGGAGCAGCGGCAGGUGGCGUGGAGGUUGGAGAUCUUGGUGAGGACGGCGCGACGCGAGGUCAUGGUGGCAUGUGUCGGAGCAGUGGUAGGUGGCAUGUGCAGGUAAAUAGCAACAUCACUACCUCUUUUAUUAUGUGCAUAUUACAUUUUGAAUAUUUCAAGUAACCAGAUGGACGUGAACAUAUACACAUAAUCCACUUUCCAGUUGAAGCUUAUUUUCUUGCAUGAGUGGUGAAGAAAAUGAGUGACAAGGAUGAUGAGAAUAAAGGGAGUGCAAUGUGGUUAUUGAAGAAGGGCAAGGAAGAGGAAGACACAUGUUAGUCGGGUGAAGUCAGCAGCGAUCGCUAUCAGUGAUGUUAUUGGCCAAAUAGGUUGUCUAAACAUUUUGCUAGGUCUCCCUCAGGGAUGAUGGUGUAACCUUGUUUCAAGUAGAUAAACAGAAGUGGGCUAAAAGAGUGUCAUAUUACAACAGAUCAGUUGGUGUGAAACUAGAUGUUGGACUAAUACGUAAUGUAAUGGGCAUGAAUGCAUUCUUUUGA